GGGGAUUUAGCUCAGUGGUAGAGCGCUUGCCUAGCAAGCGCAAGGCCCUGGGUUCGAUCCCCAGUUCCA
rnacentral:tRNA from 1 species